CUGUCACCCAGGCUGGAGUACAGUGGCAAGAUCUCGACUCACUGCAACCUCUGCCUGCCGGGUUCAAGCAAUUCUCCUGGCUCAGCCUCCCAAGUAGCUGGGAUUACAGGUGCGUGCUGCCAUACCCGGCUAAUUUUUUAUAUUUUUGGUAGAGACAGGGUUUCGUCAUGUUGGCCAGGCUGGUCUCAAACUCCUGACCUCAAGUGAUCAGCCCACCUCAGCCUCCCAAAGUGCUGGGAUUACAGGUGUGAGCCACCACACCCAGCCAGAAUUUACAUUUUUCAAAAGGUCCCUGAUGUUGCUGAGGCAGGACCACACUUUAAGAACCACUAUAGUAGAGGUUUAGGAAGAGACAGAGAAAAAUCUCUCCAGGCUACAAGACUGUCUGAUGCUGAAGGUCUUGGCCUAGGUCAGCUAAGGUGCUCUUUAGGGUUGAUAUUCUGUGAUUGUUAAACAGGUGACUAAAUAUGUAUCUGUGUCAAGCUACUCUUAUUAUCAUUAAACAGUUCUUGACUGCUUACUUUAUUAAAAUAUAAGAAUUUCCAAGAGCUUCGGACCUCUGAUCUAUAUAUAACAGAACUUCAUUAAGUAUAACUCACUAAGUCACUUAGUGAAAAGCUUGAACUACAGAAUAGUCUAACUAAUUGCCCUUUCAAAUAGGCAUUUAACAAUAAUUUCAACUAGCCUCCUACAAAACUGUUUCACAGCAAAGCUUUCACUGAUGUUUUUGCAAAAUGAAUUUAAUUACUAAUUAUCAUAUAAGGAUUAGCAUAUAGCUGAUAUGUAAAUGUCUUAGGUAUGAUUUAAACUGUUGAGUCAACUGAACAUGUACCUUCCUCUCCCACUUCCUCCAACAAAUAAAUCUUACUUGUAUUUUAAUUUAAUACUGUGUCCAUUCUUCUGAAAUAGCUGUUUAUUCUGAACAUCUAAUUUUAGACAUAUAACUAAUAUGGUACAAUUUUCAACUGCCGGUUAUUUAAAUGCUGCCCCCUCCCUGACACAAAUAAAUCUUAUUUACAUAUUAUUUGCUUCAUAAGUAUUCCACCAUCCUGCAGUCACUGUGAUCAUUGUCCCCAGCUAGUCUUUGAUCUGUGAUAAUUGUCCACAGGUAGUCUUUGAUCAUAUGUUCUCCUGUCUGGAGGAACUAAUAUGUCCUUCCAACUCUGCCCAGCCUUCAGUGUACCACACCAAGGAACUCCCACACUCUGAAUGAACAGCCCAGUGAUCAGGAGCUUUGAAUCAAUUCUUGGCACCUAACAGUUUGUGAAGAGUCUGCUAAACUCCCUCUAUCAGAAAUCCCAGAGGACUGAGAACAGGUCAUCCUUGGAGCUGUAUCUGAAUGGAGUCAGGAUCUGGAAGCCCAAGUCUCCUUGUCAAUGUCUGCUUGGUUCCCAAGGACACCUGUAAAUGGAAGAGGGGCAUAGUACACAGAAGACAUUGCUGGCAAGUGUGGUCUCUUUACGAUCAGGUGAGUCAUCUGCUGAAAUCUUUAUAAUAGACUUCUACCUUGAUGGAAUGGGUUGGACUAACGAGGAACCACCAUUACUCCAAGGCCCAGAGCAGAGCUGGGCCAUCAACUGUCUCCACACUUCCUGUCUUCUAGGUGCCACCCUGAUCCCUCAUUGCCUUUCAGCUGCAUGUCUAAAUCCCCACCCCACCCCUCAUCUAGUUGGCUUUGAUUCCAAGGACCUAGGACUGGAGUAGGGCUUUCACAAAUAAGACAGCAGGAAUGUAAUGCAACCUAAUGAGCAGACUAAGAAAGCAUCUAUACAGAAGAACAGACAUACAAAUACCAAGGCAGAUAAGAGUGACAAAAGACAAAAAAAAAAAAAAAAAAAAGAGAGAGAGAGAGAAAAAGCUGAAGCCGGUCAGAAUUCAUCAGGGGAUGGUGUAUGUCUACCACCUCAGUGGUCCUUUAAAGGUAAACGGGCUUAUUUUUCAUGCACCAGCCUAUGGUCCCUUCACUGGGACACUCUCAACAUCCCCGGCUUUUUAUAACUCUGGCUGGAAAGGUCAGCUCUGAACUCUUCCUGGGCAGGGAAAGGAGUUCACAUAGGGAUUGGGGAUGGAGUACGGGAGCAGAGGAGCAGUGCCUAUGUUAGAAACCGGUAGGAAGGCCGGGCGCGGUGGCUUGCGCCUGUAAUCCCACCACUUUGAGAGGCUGAGGUGGGUGGAUCAACUGAGGUCAGGAGUUUGAGACCAGCCUGACCAAUAUGGUGAAACCUCAUCUCUACUAAAAAUAUAAAAAUUAGCUGGGCGUGGUGGCAUGUGCCUGUAGUCCCAGCAGCUGGGCAGGAGAAUUGCUUGAACCCAGGAGGUGGAGGUUGCCGUGGGGCAAGAUCGUGCCACUGCACUCCAGCCUGGGUGACAGAGGAAAACUCUGGUUUCAGAAAAAAAUAAAAUAAAAUAAAAUAAAAUAAAAGCAGCAGCAGCAGCUGGUAGGAGCUGGAUGCCUGGAAGAAUAAAGAGCCUUUCUCCCUUAGGAGUGAGCCUAAUAGAUGGAUCUUUACUCCCUUUCUCCUGGGCCCUCUACUGGUCUUUGCUUCUCCCAUUUUUCACAUUCUGACUGCAUAUACAUACAUGGCAAUAUAUAGAGAAUUUGGCCCCUUGACUCUCACCAGAAGCACCCCCCCAGCCCCAUGACUCUGAUUUCUUCAAUGACAUACGUUAAGUACUUUUUCUCCAAAGGUGAAAUGAUCCUAGGCUUUCUCAAGGGCAAUGAUUCUGAGCCUUACCCACAUUUUAGAAUCAGCUUAGGAAACACAAAAAAAUCUCAAUGACCAGGCAGCACCCCCAAGCCAAUCAAGUAAGAAUCUGGGGUGUAAGACUCAGACAUGAGUAUAUUUUUUUAAAUUGUUUAUUUUUAUGGGGACCUAGCAGGUAUCUAUAUUUAUGGGAUAUGUGAGCAAUUUGGAUACAGGCAAACAAUAUAUAAUAAUCACAUUGGGGGAAAUGGGGUGUCCAUCACCUCACGCAUUUCUCAUGUCUUUGUAUUACAAACAUUCCAAUUAUGCUUUUAGUUAUUUUUAAGUGUACAAUGAAUUUUUUUUUACUUUAGCCACAGAUCUAGGUACAUUUUUAAACUCCCCAAAUGAUUCUAAUAUGCAGUCAAGGCUGAGCCAGCUGCCCUGGAGAUGGUCCAUCCCUUUUCAGGCCUCGCUGCACAUCAGACUCAUCUGAGGAACUUUUAAAACCACUGUUGCCUGUGCCCCACCCAAACCAAUUAAAAUCACUGUCUCUGGGGACUACAGCCAAGAUAUCAGUAUGAUUCUUUUUGUGUGUGCGAUAAACUAUAUAUAACAUAAAAUUUACCUUUGAACUAUUUUUGAGUGUGCAAAUCAGUGGCCUUAAGUCCGUUUGCAGUGUGUACAGCCAUCCCCAGAACUUCUUCAUCGUCUCAAACAGAAACUCUGUACCUAUUAAACAAUACCUCCCCAUUCCCUUCUCCCACUAGCCCCUGGCAAUCACUUUUCUACUUCCUGUCUCUAUGAAUUUGACCAUGUGAAGUACCUCCUAUAAGCAAAGUUGUACAAUAUUUGUCCUUUUGUGUCUUAUUUCACUUAGCACAAACUUUCUAGGUUUAUCCAUGCUGAGCAUGUAUAAGAAUAUCAUUCCUUUUUUAUGGGCCAGACAUAGUGGCUCAUGCCUGUCAUCCCAGGAGUGGGAGGGAUCAUACGCCGUUGGGAGACCGAGGUGGGAGGAUGGUUUGAGCACAGGAGGGGUUCAAGACUAGCCUGGGCAACAAAGGGAGACCCUAUCUCCAAAAAUAUAGAAGAAGCUGGGCACGGUGGUUCACGCCUGUAAUCCCUGCACUUUGGAAGGCCGAAGUGGGCUGAUCACUUCAGGCCACGAAUUUGAGACCAGCCUGGCCAACGUGGCGAAACCCCCUCUCUACUGAAAAAUACAAAAAUCCUCUGGGUAUGGUGGUGCACGUCUGUAAUUCCAGCUGCUCUGGAGGCUGAGGCACGAGAAUUGCUUGAACCUGGGAGGCGGAGGGUGCAGUCAGUCGAGGUGGCGCCACUGCACUCGAGCCUGGGAGACAGAGUGAGACCCUGUCUCAAAACAAAAAUAAAACAAAAAAUAAAAACAA
rnacentral:lncRNA from 1 species